rnacentral:rRNA from 1 species
AUGGGUAAGAAGCUAGCUCUGAAAGAAUUGUAUGGUGAUUGGGAUAGCAGCUUUGACAAUUUGUAUAGGUUUAAAGCACAAGUUGAAACCACUUGCCCUGGUAUCAUAGUUCAGAUUGAUCAUUACACUAUAAAUGGAAAAAUCAGGUUUAGAAGGUUCUUCUUUUCUUUGAAACCUUGCAUAGACAGAUUCCUUGGUGGUUGCAGGCCAUAUUUGGCAGUAGAUAGCACAUUCUUAACAAGCAGGUUCAAGGGGCAGCUGGCUAGUGCUACCGCUGUAGACGGCCAUAAUUGGAUGUAUCCACUUUGUUUUGGAAUUUUUGAUUCCAAAACAAAUAAGAACUGGAUUUUCAUGCAAUUGCUUAGGCAAGCCAUAGGAUCACCAAGGGGUUUAGCCAUAAGCACCGAUGCCAGGCAGGCGGUGAUGACAAGGGUAAAGGAAGUUUCCCCAGAAGUAGAACAAAGGGAAUGCAUGUUUCACUUGGUGUCAAACUUCAAGAAAAAGUAUCACGAAAAGGUAUUUGAUGACCAUCUUUGGGCUGCUGCUUACUCAUGGAACACAUAUAUAUUUGAGAAAAAUUGGGUUGCAAUGGAAACAGCAAAGCCAGCAGCAACUGCAUAUCUUAGGAAGUGGCACACUAGGUUGUGGACUAGGAGUCAGUUCUCAACCAUUUGUAAGGUGGACUAUGUAACCAACAACCUGGAAGAGUGCUUCAAUAAUUGGAUUAAGCACCACAAGUCUUUGAACUUGGACGACAUAGACAAGCUUAGGCAGAUGAUUAUGAUCAUGUGGAAUCGCCGGAGAAAAGUAGCAAAGAAGUUAGUUGGCUUAAUUUUGCCCCACAUAAUUAAGAAGUUGAAUGCAAAGAGUAGAGAGUUGAACUUGGAGGUGGUAGAAAGCUCGGAAGAAGUUGCUGAAGUUACUCAAUUGGGAGGCAGUGGGUUUAGGUUUGUCGUCAACUUGCAUGACAUCACAUGCUCUUGUAGACAAUGGGUUUCUGGCCUUCCUUGCAAACAUGCUCUAGCAUUCAUCACAUCACUUUUCAAUGCACAUAUACAGAAUGACGUGGACUCGUAUUACUCCAUUGACAAGUUUAGAGCAGCUUAUGGCCAACUAAUCCCUGCUAUAUGUGACAAGACCCAGUGGCCUAAAUCUAACCAUGGAUUCUUCAUGCAUCCACCCUUGUUAAAAGCUGUUGUUGGUCGGCCCCAAACAGAGAGGCAUAAGGGUUGUAGUGAGAAAAACAGGAAAAGUGGCCAACAGUUAUGCCCUAUUUGUAAGGAAUACAGGCACCAUUGGCACAAGUGCAAGAAGGGGAACAAAGAUGACAUUGCUGCUUUGAUGGAGUUGAGGUAA